GGGGUGACUGCGUACCUUUUGUAUAAUGGGUCAGCGACUUAUAUUCUGUAGCAAGGUUAACCGAAUAGGGGAGCCGAAGGGAAACCGAGUCUUAACUGGGCGUUAAGUUGCAGGGUAUAGACCCGAAACCCGGUGAUCUAGCCAUGGGCAGGUUGAAGGUUGGGUAACACUAACUGGAGGACCGAACCGACUAAUGUUGAAAAAUUAGCGGAUGACUUGUGGCUGGGGGUGAAAGGCCAAUCAAACCGGGAGAUAGCUGGUUCUCCCCGAAAGCUAUUUAGGUAGCGCCUCGUGAAUUCAUCUCCGGGGGUAGAGCACUGUUUCGGCAAGGGGGUCAUCCCGACUUACCAACCCGAUGCAAACUGCGAAUACCGGAGAAUGUUAUCACGGGAGACACACGGCGGGUGCUAACGUCCGUCGUGAAGAGGGAAACAACCCAGACCGCCAGCUAAGGUCCCAAAGUCAUGGUUAAGUGGGAAACGAUGUGGGAAGGCCCAGACAGCCAGGAUGUUGGCUUAGAAGCAGCCAUCAUUUAAAGAAAGCGUAAUAGCUCACUGGUCGAGUCGGCCUGCGCGGAAGAUGUAACGGGGCUAAACCAUGCACCGAAGCUGCGGCAGCGACGCUUAUGCGUUGUUGGGUAGGGGAGCGUUCUGUAAGCCUGUGAAGGUGUGCUGUGAGGCAUGCUGGAGGUAUCAGAAGUGCGAAUGCUGACAUAAGUAACGAUAAAGCGGGUGAAAAGCCCGCUCGCCGGAAGACCAAGGGUUCCUGUCCAACGUUAAUCGGGGCAGGGUGAGUCGACCCCUAAGGCGAGGCCGAAAGGCGUAGUCGAUGGGAAACAGGUUAAUAUUCCUGUACUUGGUGUUACUGCGAAGGGGGGACGGAGAAGGCUAUGUUGGCCGGGCGACGGUUGUCCCGGUUUAAGCGUGUAGGCUGGUUUUCCAGGCAAAUCCGGAAAAUCAAGGCUGAGGCGUGAUGACGAGGCACUACGGUGCUGAAGCAACAAAUGCCCUGCUUCCAGGAAAAGCCUCUAAGCAUCAGGUAACAUCAAAUCGUACCCCAAACCGACACAGGUGGUCAGGUAGAGAAUACCAAGGCGCUUGAGAGAACUCGGGUGAAGGAACUAGGCAAAAUGGUGCCGUAACUUCGGGAGAAGGCACGCUGAUAUGUAGGUGAAGUCCCUCGCGGAUGGAGCUGAAAUCAGUCGAAGAUACCAGCUGGCUGCAACUGUUUAUUAAAAACACAGCACUGUGCAAACACGAAAGUGGACGUAUACGGUGUGACGCCUGCCCGGUGCCGGAAGGUUAAUUGAUGGGGUUAGCGCAAGCGAAGCUCUUGAUCGAAGCCCCGGUAAACGGCGGCCGUAACUAUAACGGUCCUAAGGUAGCGAAAUUCCUUGUCGGGUAAGUUCCGACCUGCACGAAUGGCGUAAUGAUGGCCAGGCUGUCUCCACCCGAGACUCAGUGAAAUUGAACUCGCUGUGAAGAUGCAGUGUACCCGCGGCAAGACGGAAAGACCCCGUGAACCUUUACUAUAGCUUGACACUGAACAUUGAGCCUUGAUGUGUAGGAUAGGUGGGAGGCUUUGAAGUGUGGACGCCAGUCUGCAUGGAGCCGACCUUGAAAUACCACCCUUUAAUGUUUGAUGUUCUAACGU
rnacentral:rRNA from 1 species